UACGUAGGGUGCGAGCGUUGUCCGGAAUUAUUGGGCGUAAAGAGCUUGUAGGCGGUUUGUCGCGUCUGCCGUGAAAUUUCGAGGCUCAACCUCGAACUUGCGGUGGGUACGGGCAGACUAGAGUGCGGUAGGGGAGACUGGAAUUCCUGGUGUAGCGGUGAAAUGCGCAGAUAUCAGGAGGAACACCGAUGGCGAAGGCAGGUCUCUGGGCAUUAACUGACGCUGAGGAGCGAAAGCAUGGGGAGCGAACAGG
rnacentral:rRNA from 1 species